rnacentral:rRNA from 1 species
UACGUAGGGUGCAAGCGUUGUCCGGAAUUAUUGGGCGUAAAGCGCACGUAGGCGGUUCGUUAAGUCGGAUGUGAAAGCCCUCGGCUCAACUGAGGAAGUGCACCCGAAACUGGCGAGCUUGAGUACGAAAGAGGAUCGCGGAAUUCCCGGUGUAGAGGUGAAAUUCGUAGAUAUCGGGAGGAACACCGGUGGCGAAGGCGGCGAUCUGGGUCGAUACUGACGCUGAGGCGCGAAAGCGUGGGGAGCAA